GAACUUUAUCUGGUAUCUAAUACUUAGCUCUACUUCCUGCUUUGGAAACUAUAGGUCUUUCUAAAAUGACAGUAAAGUGUUUCUUAAUGAACGUUUACCCUGGUCUGCCUUUUUCUGUCUCUGUCUCUUGCUGUCUCUGUCUUUCUCUGUGUCUCUGUUUCUGUCUCCCUCUCUCUUUUUCUCUGUCUCUCUCUCACCCCCUGUGUGUGUGUGUGCGCAUGUGCGUGCGUGCAUGUAUGUGUUUUCCUGUCUCUCUCACAUGCACACAGAGUCCUCAUCUAGAUUUAUGGAUUAUCAUUAUUUCCACAAUCAAUUAUAGUUAUCACCACUUUCAGGGCUCACACAGCUGUCUCCAAGGUAGCCGGUGGGAUGUGCUUCCAGCUGGUUCCCAUGUGCUACUGACUCCACCAUUUAUUUUUGACGCCUCCUUUAUUUUUAAUUAAAAAGUGUGCUCUCCCCGCUCUCUGGCAUGACUAGAUAUCCCAGGAUCUCCCAAGCAUUUCCCUUACCCCAGAAGUGGAAGGAUCUGUUUGUACCCUGGGGUCUCUACAGCCUGGGGAGUGAUGCUUGGAAAGCACAAGGCUGCUGUGUGUUGACUCUGCUGACAGUUCUUGUCUUGAGGGCCUGUGAGCGGAUGAGUUGCGAUUCAUAUUACUUGACUUUAGAUAUAGCUUUUUACUCCUUUGACAUUUUAAUUAUAUGUGUUUGCUCUUACAUGGAAAAAUUGAACUUUGUUUUCCUUUUAUUCUCCCAUAAUUAUAUUAUUUCUGAUUUCAACAUGGGCAUCAGUGCUGGCUGUUACAUAGUAAGGAAGCUCAGGAUUCAUUCUCAUCAGAUAAGCUUCUCCAGGAGCUCAUGGAAUUAUUCUACAAAAUAUCUAUUCUGUGUGAUUUGUAACUAAGUUUAUUAAUUUGGUUUUUUACUUAAUUAUGAUUAUUUUAUAUCUAAAUAUGUUAAACAUAUGCAUGAUACAGAAUUCAAAAGUACAUGACAAGGCCCUUCAGAGGAUGUAUCACAGUCAUUUUUUUCCCCAUUUGCUAGCUGUUGACUCUAAGCUCACGAGAAAGGUCUAAUUUAUUUAUUUUUCAGUGUAACAUGUGUGUGUUUAUAUAAAAUAUAAACAUAAACACAUUAUUUACCUGUAUUUGCAUAAGAAAAAAAGAAAGAUAGGUAGAUAGAUAAUAGAUUUUGGAAGAGGUUGCAAGCUAAUGAAUGUUUUUUUCACUCAUUUUAAAGGAUGGUAUAGAUACCCAUUGAAUGGAUGUACCACAGGCUUCCCCAGACAGUGCCAUUUAAUGCAAUUAAAAAAAAAAUAGAAUACUAUAAAAUUAACUGCAUUUUUGUUUGUUUGGGUUUUGUUUUGCUUUGCUUUGCUUUACAAUCAUGAUGAUGAAUCUCCCAGCUGCCUUUCUCUAAGUACUCUAAGUAGUGUGUGUGUGUGUGUGUGUGUGUGUGUGUGUGUGUGUGUGUGUGUGGCGUGAUGAUUACCGAUGAGCAGCAUAUGUACAUGCUGGUAUACUUUGAUAAAUAUUGCUCAUUUUCCUUUCUGCCAAGCUGUAGCAUUCUGUGUUCACAUAGAAAAUGCAUCAGCAUGCAUGUUUCCUGCAGGUCCCCCAACAUAGUGAGCCACCAGACUUUCAGGUCUUGGCCCAGCUGAGUGGUGGAAAAUACUAUGUCAACGUGGUUUGCUCUGUCAUGACUUCAUGCAAAGCUGGCAAACCAGCCAUUUGAGUCUUCUCCCCAUUUUUCUAUGCCAGUUUUGGUCAUCUCUUGCCUCUGUUUAAGAACAGGUUAGGAAAAUAGCCGAUUUGAGAUAUAUGAUAACAACUCUACUUGUUAGAGUUUUCCAGUCCAGUUUAAAAUCAAAGUGGACACUGUUGGUCAAAAUGCUAGUCUCCAACCUCCAACAAGUUAUCCUAAAACACGGCAUGGUGUAAAAGAACAAAUGUUAGAAAUAAGACCCUCUGAUGGUUUUGAAGCUGAUCAAGUGGAUGGUUCAAAUGUGUCAAAACUCAGUCCUACUUUCAUGGAUGGAUCCUAGAUUUUAUCAAGGAUCCUAGACUUAUCCUGUAGUGAGAUAAAUCAAUGAACCCGGAGUGGUAUUUCAGGCUCUGUCUGUUAAAGAGGAACUUUGGUGGACAACUAUGAAAUCUAUCAAUUCUGCCCUGGAAAUAUGGCCAUGCUUGGCCUCAAGUGGGAUGUUGCACAAGCUGCUAGCUCAUCAAUUUAAAGAGAGAGGUUAAGAAUUUUCGAAAAUUAUAGGAAGGAUUUUCUAGAAGUCUGUUCUCGUAUGUUUAUUGUGAAUAAACAUAAGUGAAUAAAGGUGUUGCUGUAUCAAGCUUCCUCCCAGACAAAAGAGAUGCCACACUGCUAAUAACAGAGCAAAGGAGGGUGUAUUUAGGGAGGAGAAGUAGAAAGUAGUCGCCAAGAGCCAGGAUCAGCCACAUAGUGACCCUAGUUUACUCAAGGUGAUAAUGGGGAAGAGAAGGUCCCAGAAAGAGAACUUAGGAAAAUCACCAUAAAGAGGAGGUCAUUUACAGAGCAGCUAAAGACUUUAGUCAUGGGACAGGCAGUUCAAAGUGACAUAUAUGAGUUUUGACUUCACCCCUCCAGACCACACACCCCCAGUCAACUAUCAAAAUGCUCAACACAACAUUUUUACCCCGCUGAUGUGGCCCACAGCUAGGAAUUUCCUGGAAGCAGAGUGUGGAAGUAGCAGACUGUACUGAGUGUCCUCCCUCGUGGGAGUUUGGAGCUUCCCAGAGUACUGCCCUUUGCCCAUCUACAAGGACCAGAGGCUCUGGCAAGAUCAAGUUCUCAGGUCCCAUUUGUGAUACCCAGUUGCCAGGGUCGGGGGAGACUGGGAGUAGGCAUGGACUCUGCAGAGUAGGCUCUGCAGUAAGACUCUUACACUCAGGCAAGAAGGUGCAUCAUGCAUUUCCUUUUCACUUGGAGAACCUGAUUCGGCUGCUGGCACUUCACUGCUUCUGAGGCCAGGACUCCACGAGACAAAUAUGCAAAUGAGGAAGACAAAACCAGGGCUCAUCACUCCCUGGUCUCAUUCACCCACAGGGAGGAAGGGAAGCCUAAUUGGUUUGGAGGGUUUUGUUUGUUUACUUGUUUGUCCAAAGUUCGUGGUUAGACAUAAAUCCUUAAAUCCCAGUACUUUCCAUUUAACUUUCAGAAUGGCAGUCUCCAAAAUGCAUCUUUUAGUUGAAACCAAAUCAGAGUUAUUUUGUUUCUAUUUAUUGGCCAUCAUCCCGAUUCUCCCACAAAGUCACUCCUAUUCAAGAUCACUCUGCUGGUGCCUUCCACCCCUGGGAGGCAGAACAGUAAGUAGAGUUUGCAUAGCAUUUCUAAAGUAGGUAGGUAGGCUCCCACACAGACUCAAGGAGACUUAGACACCUUAACCAGCAACCAAAUUCCUGAGAAACUUCGGCCAGAGUACUCCCAGGGACCCAGUCCCUUUGCAGUAAUGUUUGAAGCAUCUUGGAAAGACUUGGGCAUCUGUCAACGAAUCUCUACUUUUGCCCCUCUGCCUUUUCUUGUUUGAGAAUUCUUUUUAUGCCAAUCUGCAGUAGGGGCUUAAAAUUAAAUUCUUCUACAUUAUUAAAUUGGGUAUUUGGCUUAAUAUUUUAAAAUCUGAGACCAGUCUAGGCCCAAAAGCACUCCAUCAGUGCCUUACAUUCCCCAAUGAAACUAAAAGCUUGCUGAGAUUGAAAGUCAGAUGAUGGAUGGCAGUGGAGAGAUCCCUGGUGGUGCUGGUCUGUUCAUGGGGCUCUGAGCAUCUCUUUCCAUGUUCAUGUUCUAAGUUCUCUCAAGCCUCCAGAGGGUAUCUGCCAAAAUGGAAGUGCAAUAUGGCCCAAAAGGAAUCUCUGCUCUGAUUUUCUUCCCUUCCUUAAUAUCCCCUGACUCUUCAGACGGUGCCAUGUGCAUUCCUCAGUCUCCCCUGCACCUCC
rnacentral:lncRNA from 1 species